GAUGAACGCUGACAGAAUGCUUAACACAUGCAAGUCGAAGGGGAAGUGGUGCUUGCACCGUGGUAACCAUGGCGGAAGGGGGGGUAACGCGUAAGGAACUUACCUGCGGGACCGGGAUAACAGCAGGAAACAGCUGACAAAACCGGAUAAGGUCAUUAAGCUGCCUAGCUUAGGGAUGAAAGGAGACGCCUGCGGGGAGCCUUGCGUCCUAUUAGCGUGUUGGAGGGGGAACGGCCCACCAAGGAGGAGAUAGGGAGCCGGCCUGAGGGGGUGGACGGCCACAGGGGGUCUGAUAUGCGGCCCUUACUCCCGCGGGACGCAGCAGUGGAGUAUAUUGGACUGUGGGGGCACCCCUUAUCCAGCAGUUCUGUGUGCACGAAGGCGCUUUUCGGAGUGUACAGUGCUUUCAGCAGGGAAGAAGUAAGUGACGGUACCUGCAGAAGAAGCGACGGCUAACUACGUG
rnacentral:rRNA from 1 species